rnacentral:rRNA from 1 species
CGGUUGAUCCUGCCGACCCGAACUGCUAGAGGAUUGGGACUUAGGUAUCCAAGUGGUGCGUGACAGUUAAGUUACGCCGCAAAACGCUCCGUAACACGCCGUUAACUUACCCUCAAGUGGGAGGCAAUCUCGGAAAACUGAGGCUAAUUCUCCCAUGAGAUAAAAUUGCCUGGAAUGGUAUGUUAUCAGAAGGUUCUACCUGUAUCUGGUAGUGUCCGCUUGAGGAUAGGGCUGCGGGCGAUUAGCCUGUAGGUGGGGUAACGGCCCACCUAAGCGACGAUCGCUGGGGGCAAUGUGAGUUGGCGCCCCGAGACUAUCACUGAGACAGUGGAUAGGGGGAUACGUCUUGCAGGAACCGCGAAAACGCCUCUAUGUACGAAAGUACGAGGGGGCCAGUCCUCGUGCUCAGUUACCGCUGAGCUGUUGCCCAAGAUAAUAUCAUUGGGUUAGAAAGUGGAGCGUAAGGCUGGUGCCAGCAGGCGCGGUAAAACCAGCUCCGCGAGUGGUUUGGAUUAUUAUUGAGCCUAAAACGUCUGUAGCUGGACUAGUAAGUUCGUGAUUAAAUACUCUCGCUCAACGAGAGUGCUGUUGCGAAUACUGCUAGUCUUGGGAAUGGAAGAGGUAAGCCGUACUUUGGGGUUAGGGGUGAAAUCCGUUGACCCCCAGGGGACGACCUAUGGCGAAGGCAGCUUACUGGGACAUCUCCGACAGUCAGUAGACGAAAGCUGGGGUAUCGACGCGGAUUAGAGACCCGUUUAGUCCUAGCCGUAAACGAUGAUUGCUUUGUGUUGCGGGCGAUUCGAUCGUCUGCAGUGCUGUAGGGAAGCCGUUAAGCGAUCUGCUUGGGAAGUACAGUCGCAAGGCUGAAACUUAAAGGAAUUGGCGGGGGUUCACCACCAGGCGAGGGGUGUGCGGUUUAAUUGAAUCAACGCCAGGAAACUCACCUGGGAGUAGGACUCUAUGAUUGCCAGAUUGAUGAUCUUGCAUGAGAUGUCGGAGGCUUGUGCAUGGCCGUCUGAAAUUCGUAUCGUGAGACGUGCAGUUAAGUCUGCUAACGAAUGAGAUGCCCGCCUCUAAUUGCCAUUGUCCCAGCUUUUGCUGGGCAGGAACCUUAGAGGGAUCGCUGAGCGCUAAGCCAGAUGAAAGGGGGCGCUACGACAGGUCAGUAUGCAGCAUGUUCCCAGGGCUACACGCGCACCACAAUGGACAGGACAAUGGGCUCCCGAUCUCGAAAGAGUGGGGCAAUCCGAUAAACCUGUUCUCAGUUGGGAUUGGGGGCUGCAACCCGCCCCCAUGAACGUGGAUUGCCUAGUAAGCGGGUGUCAACAUCGCCCGCUGAAUACGCCUCUGGAUCUUGCGCACACCGCCCGUCGCUGGAACUGAAUGAGUGGGAGUUGAGGUAAACGAUAUCGUAUGCGGGUAUCAAAACUUUUACUCGUGAAGAGCCAGAAGUCGUAACAAGGUA